rnacentral:rRNA from 1 species
AGUUUGAUCAUGGCUCAGGAUGAACGCUGGCGGCAUGCCUAAUACAUGCAAGUCGAACGGAGUGAAGCCUUCGGGUUUCAUUCAGUGGCGAACGGGUGAGUAAUACGCAGGGAACCUGGCCAUGGCAGGGGGAUACACUCUGGAAACGGAGCAUAAGACCCCAUAGGCAGUAAGGCGGCAUCGCCUUACUGUUAAAGAAAGCUGAAAGGCUUUGGCGAUGGAUGGACCUGCGGUGCAUUAGCUUGUUGGUGAGGCAACGGCUUACCAAGGCGAUGAUGCAUAGCCGGCCUGAGAGGGCGGACGGCCACACUGGGACUGAGACACGGCCCAGACUCCUGCGGGAGGCAGCAGUAGGGAAUUUUCGUCAAUGGGCGCAAGCCUGAACGAGCAAUGCCGCGUGAGUGAGGAAGGUCUUCGGACUGUAAAGCUCUGUUGCCGGGGAAAAAGGGGAAAUGCAGGAAAUGGCAUUUCAUGGAUGGUACCCGGCCAGAAAGCCACGGCUAACUACGUGCCAGCAGCCGCGGUAAUACGUAGGUGGCGAGCGUUAUCCGGAAUGAUUGGGCGUAAAGGGUGCGCAGGCGGUCUGUUAAGUCUGAAGGCAGAGGGAUGAGCUCAACUCAUUUAUGAUUCAGAAACUGGCAGACUUGAGGACAGGAGAGGGCGGUGGAACUCCAUGUGUAGCGGUAAAAUGCGCAGAGAUAUGGAAGAACACCAGUGGCGAAGGCGGCCGCCUGGCCUGUGACUGACGCUGAGGCACGAAAGCGUGGGGAGCAAAUAGGAUUAGAUACCCUAGUAGUCCACGCCGUAAACGAUGAGGAGCAGGUGUUGGGAGUGAAAUCUCAGUGCCGAAGCCAACGCUGUGACUCCUCCGCCUGGGGAGUAUGCACGCAAGUGUGAAACUCAAAGGAAUUGACGGGGGCCCGCACAAGCGGUGGAGUAUGUGGUUUAAUUCGAAGCAACGCGAAGAACCUUACCAGGUUUUGACAUCGGAUGCGAAGGCGCAGAGAUGCGCUGGAGGCUAUCAUCCAGACAGGUGGUGCAUGGUUGUCGUCAGCUCGUGUCGUGAGAUGUUCAGUUAAGUCUGGCAACGAGCGCAACCCCCGUGGUAUGUUACUAACGCAUUUGGGCGAGGACUCAUAUCAGACUGCCGGUGACAAACCGGAGGAAGGCGGGGAUGACGUCAAAUCAUCAUGCCCCUUAUGACCUGGGCUACACACGUACUACAAUGGCGUCUACAGAGGGAAGCGACCCUGAGAAGGGAAGCGAAACCGGAAAAGGGCGUCCCAGUUCGGAUUGAAGUCUGCAACCCGACUUCAUGAAGAUGGAAUCGCUAGUAAUCGCGGAUCAGCAUGCCGCGGUGAAUACGUUCCCGGGCCUUGUACACACCGCCCGCCAAACCAUGGAAGCCGGCAACGCCCGAAGCCGGUGGCAUAACCUUUUAGGAGUGAGCCGUCGAAGGCGGGGCCGAUGACUGGGGUUAAGUCGUAACAAGGUACCC